ensembl:lncRNA
GUGGGAGGGGAAGGGGAAAAGAAAGAAGGGAAAGGAAAAAAUAUGAGAAAAGAAAAAAAUGUAAAUGAAGUCUAUGUAAAUAGGGAAGGAUGGAGGGGGUGAAGGGUGCUCAGGUAAUGGGGAAAAAAAAUCAGAACCAAGAUACAUCAUAUACAGGUACAAGCACCCAAUGAUAAAUGUAAACACAUUGUAUACCUAAAAUGUACCAAUAAACGAACUUAAGAAUAAAAAAAAAUAGAAGGGAAGGUUUAUUUUGGCUCAUAGUUUGUAGAGGUUUCAGCCCAUAAUCAGCUGGCUCCAAGACAUGCUGGCAUGCCAGAAAGACCUUGCAGAGGAGAAACAUUUCAUGGCAAAGUAGGGCAGGCUGAAGGCAGCGAAGCUGCAAAGUAGCAAAGUGACAGCACCCCAGCAGACUUCCUCUCCCUUUUAUCCCUUUCAGGCUACUCACCCUUUGACUGGUGUCACCCACACCAAAGGCGGGCCUUCCCAUUAUCCACACCCAGAACUAUGCCAAACCAAUCAGUGGACUAAUUUAGUAAUCACACACCCUUAAUCCGAGCAUCACACAGUUAAUCCCAGUAUCACACACCCUAGAUCUAGCCACUGAGGCUUUGGGGGGACCUCUAGACACAAGCCAUAACACACUAUUUUCCCUUUCAUUCUUGCCACACUAGCUACACUGAUUUUCUAUGGGAUCUUCAGCUCCCUACUAUCUCAGAGCUGUUAUAUAUGCAAAUCUUUCUACUUGGAGUAUAUGUAACCUCUCUCUUCAUCCUUUCAGUCUCAAAUAUCACAACAUCAGGAAGGAAACCUUUAAUUCUUUGUAAUAGUUCCAUUCAACAUCAUCAAUUUUGCUCAUAAAUCAUACUCACCAAACUUGCUUACCACGAGCGGCAAGCCCACUACCUCUCACUCACUGCUUCCACCGGGCUUUACCUCCUCAGUAUCCUCAUCAUGCCACCACAGUUCCCCAUGGAUACACUCACCACAACAUGCAUCUCCAUUAGAUACACUCUCUAAUCCCACCCACUACCACCAGCUUCACUCACUUCUUCUAGAAUCCAUGCUCCCCACUUCCCCAUGUCCUCACCACUCCCUAUUGUCCACACUCAGAAGUCCACUGCACCAUCAUUCCUUGCACAUCCAGCAGGUCAAAAAUAUAAUCAGCCUUGCCUCACUGCCCCUACUAAUGAGCAAAGGCCCUCCUAGUUGUAAUUAAGGUAUCAGCUUGCUUCAGUGAUGUCUUCAUUGACCAUUCAGUCUGGAUUAGGUUUCUCUGGUUCUCUUUCAUAGUAAUGGUCACAACAUAAUAAUGCAGUACUUUUGGUGACUGUGUUUAAUAGUUGUCACUCCACAGUGGCUAUGUUUAUCUUUGCACUGCUAUUUCCCCUAUACCUAGAACACAGUAGAUCUCAAAAUUACUUGCUAAAUCUUGUUGUAUCAAGUGUUACAGAUUUUUAAAAGUCUGAGGCUCUAGGCUGCUAAUGCACUCAGAAUCACUGAGUUAAGUUCCAGAGCUUGGAUUCAAAUUCAGAUGUGGCUGUCUAUGAAUUCUGUAGGCUAUUAACCAUUAUGCCCCUUGUUUCUGCCAGUCCAGCAACAUCAACCACAUUGGAAACUUGUUAGAAAUGCAGAUUCUCAUGAACAGCUCCAGACUUCCUGAGUCAGAAAUCCCGAAUGUGAAGGCCAGCACUCUCUGUUUUAACAAGUCUUCCAUGUGGUUUCUACUUGGUAGGAAAUAGCCUUAAAGCUGUCUAGCAUAAGGCUUAGUAUAUGUAUGUGUUUAAUAAGUAUGUAUAGAAUAACAGUGAAGCCAGCUCUCAGGCACAUUAGGUUAUAAAAAACAUGAAUUGAUUUUUUUCACCAAAACCUCCAUUCUAGCCAGACUGCUAGGACAAUGAAAACACAACAAUAAGGGACACGAUGCUUGCUUGGAGAAAAGUUUCAAGAUGAAAUUAUUCGUUUAUUACCAUCUCUUCCUUCCUUCUUUUAGGUCAGUCUUUUCUAUGGAAAUAUCUCUGACUCCUAUAGUUCAUAGAUAGUUUUCUUCUUUGACUUCUUUAGAAUAUUAUUUUAGCUACCUAAGAGUUGUGUAUGAUAAUGUAUUUUCUAUGUCUUAGGUAUAUAAGCCAUGCUUUCCAUAAUGAAAAAAUUUUUUAGCAUAUGGACUGUGCCUUUUCUUUUAUCUCCUCUAGUUUUUACCAUGGUCUUAAAUAUUUAGCAACAUACUGGGAUAAUGUUGUAAUAAAUUAUUGUCUCUCCAUGUAUGUUUAUGCUUAGCUCUUUCCAUAUGCAGCAAAAACAUUCAUCACCUAAGAAAAAGUUUGUUAUAUUAGAAGAGACAACAACAAAAAACUAAAAUUUUAGUCUUUAAAUUUUAAAAGCCUAUUUUGAAUUUCUGAAACCAAAGCUUUUGUGCUUCAAAUGCUCAAGUCCUUAAGAAUCCAGGAAAUAUUACUUUAUAACAUACACAACAGCUUUGAAAGGAUACAGGAUCAGCAAAGCUAGUUUUCCUCUUCUCAAACUACAUGGAAUUUCUGUUGUUUGUAAGAAGAGUGAGAGUUACAAUGAAAGAGUGUGUCCUUGGUGUAUUCCCUAAAAGAGGUGCUAUAACCUUGCAGGAUGAGACCCAGGUCACAGAAAUAAUAUUCUCCUCAAUGAAUGGCGUUGGGGUAGAGAAAUGAGAGAGCACAUGAGGCUUUGCCUUGCCUCUCUCCAUGCCUCUCCCCACACAGAGGGAAGCACCAAGCCCUGUAGAGUGCUCCCAAGCCCACCUAGCACCAGAGCAAUAGAGUGGAGCUGGAUGAAUGUGUUAAAUCAGGAGACAGAGCUUGAGACUUCCUCACAAUUCCUUGGACUCUGUGAGGUAUUAGAAGAGCCAAGUGUCUUCUGAAUACAUACAAGAGACCCUGAGACACUAGAGAACGUAAGCUCAAAGUUGAGAAGGCACAGCAAUAAUGAGUGCAUCUAUAACUGAGCCCUGGGUGGAAUUGGAAUAUUCAUGAAGCACAUGUGCAGAGGCAAUCAAGGAAACACAUGACAAUGCACGUUUCAGUGGAUUCUAGGGUGAAUAGUAGCAACAGUGAAGAUCAAAUACUUUCAUAUCUCAGCCACAAGCCCGGAGAUGGUGGGAGAGAGGUUGGAUUGACUGAGAUUAAUUUUACAUACUACUUGGAGGAAUGGGGCUCAAAUAGACUGAGAUAUAAGAAAAGCAUCCCUGUGCCCCUGAAUUAGUGGGUUGACAUUUAUAUCUCCCUCACCAAGACACAACAUAUUUGAUCAAUUGGAUUGAAUUCAUGAGCCAGGUCCUUUUUACUGAGUCCAAUACUUAGGAGAUAUUGAAUCAGAAAAUAAGAAGUUCCUGGGCUGGGGAUUUAGCUCGGUGGUUCCGCCGCCUGCCUAGCAAAUGCAAGGUCCUGAGUUCGAUCUCCGGUAUCAAAAAAAAAAAAUUUGAGAAACCAGAAAAUAAGAAGUUCCUGUGGGAUUUUGUUAAAUUACUAAAGUACACUUUGAGCUGUCCUAACCUCAGAAUGCUUUUACUCCACAACUUCUCAAUUUCUCUAGUUUUUCAUAGUGAUGAUAGUGUUUCAAAUAAUAUACAUUAUAAUAUCCCUGGUUACCCAAAGGAGAUUCUAGGUAGAGUCAUUCCACUACUUACUAAGGCAGGAGGGUGAGCACAGGUAAUUUGGAGUUUUCACACAUACAGAGAGGUUGAAAUGAGAAGAGGUUUUAAAAUAAACCUCUGACACCCAACUUUGCAUGUUGUUACAAAUAUAUUACUUGAUCAUUGAUUUUUAGCGGGUAAAGAGAACUGGACAGGUUCAUAUUUUUUAAGUGGGUGUUGUAUUUAUUCAUUAAACUGUGUGGGGCUACUGUGAUUAUGCUAUAGAUAGACAGAGGUCUCAAGAGUCAGUUGGGGCUAUUGAAUCACAUAUGAUUCAACAGGCCUCUCAAUUGAAGAAGCCUGCUAUUGAGGGACUUCCCUAGGGUAAUCAAUUAAAAGCAGUAGCAUUAAGCAGCUAAUGGUGCUGGGAAAUCAAUACUGGCAUGGGAAGGAAACAAUUCUCUGCAAUGAUUUCUAUGCAAAUUCUGAUUCUUGUACCUAAUGACAUUAAGAUUCACUAAUGACACAUAACUCAAGGAGGUUCUUCUUUCUCAGCUAAAUGAAAAGCACAUUUUUUUGCCCCUACAACCUUGGCAGCCACUUGGGAGGCCUAUGUUCACUGCUGGGAAGCAAUAGAUUAAGCACCCUUGAUGAGCCACCAGAGAUACACAGCAUGGAGAGUAAUCUCUGUCAUUCUUACAUUUGGAACUGGCAAUAAACAAUAGCAAAGCUUCUGGAUGCAAGGGUCUUCCUAAGUCUCCCAGGCUAACCUUAAGCUUGCACUCCUCCUGCAUCAGCCUCAAGAGUAGCUGGGAUUACAGAUACUGAGUUGUGCCUCGAUCUGAACAAAAAGUCAUUUCCUAACUCCAGUUACAACUGAGACCUGACCCUGGUCACAGAUUGAGCCUUAAUUUGGCCACAGAUGCACCUAAACUCCAGGUAACUGUUACACAAAUGUGAUUAUUAUUGAUGGAUUAAUUCAAACUCAUUCUCACCUUGAGAGACAGGGUUCAAGGCCUGCACUUUACUAGAGGUGGGUCAGGUGCUGAGCCUUUUGUCCUGUGAAGGACAGUGCAUUAUUGAUAUAGCAAUAUUCCUGUCAGUGUUUCUCCUUCAAUUAUCUAGCUGCAGAGAACACAGAUACUUUAUUGCCAUGGUAGACAGUCAUUUUCUUAAAAAGAUUUUUAAAAAAUGGAAAGAGAGAAAUGAAAAUCAAGUGAAAGAAGUAAUUUCCUGUGACUGAAAACAUAAAGCAAAUGCCUGAACAUGAUUUUAAAUGGGUCUCUGAAUGUGGCUGAUGGAAGGAAACUUUCUUGGAAAGGACACAACUGUGAGCACUGCUGGGUAUAGAGUACAUUAGGGAGCAAGGAAGCCAGGAAUCAUGUACUGAAAGUCAGUUUCUAGUAAAUGAAUAGGUUUCAAGCAUCUACUAAAUCCAGUCUAGAUAAGUGUUUUUUUAGAAUAAUAAUUUUUAAAAAUCAUGAAGUGACUUGAUAAGGUAGUAAUGAAACUGUCAGAGCCUCCAAUUUGACUGAAGCUGAGGUGUAGUAGGGGAUUUAUUUUAAUAUCUAAAUCCUUUUAGAAUGUUAGGAGGAGGUAAGCUGAAAACUUAGAGCUCCAUUUGAAUAGCAUUAUCUAGAGUGGGGGCUUUGGAAUGUACUAGAGCAGCUUUGUUCAAUAGAACUUUCUGUGAUGAUGGGAAUGGUCUGUAUCUGAACUGUCAGUGACAGAGCAGCAAGCCACAUGUGGCUCUUAAGCACUUGAAAUGUGGCUAAUGUGGUCAAGAAAAACAACUGUAAAAUGAAUUUAAUUGUAAUUAAGUCAAAAUUAAAUAGCCAUCAGUGGCUAUCAUAUAGGAUGGCAUAGCACUAGAAUUUAGGUCAGCCCCCAUAGCCAGAAGCAACAAAAAAGCCCAAGGAAAGGGGAAAACAACACACAAACUCAUAUUUCUGCACAGCUUUAUAUCUUUAUAUUUCUGUUGAGAAGCAUAGCCUUUUGUUAGCUUUGGAUAGACCUGGUAACUUAAUUUUCGAUGAGAUUAUGCUAGUUGUGUUUAUUCAGCUUUUCAUUACUGUAACAAAUACCUGAGUUAAAUCAACUUAUAAAGAGGAAAUGUAUAUUGUGCAUCACAGUUUUGGAAGUUUCUGACAACACAUCAGGGUGGAAGUGUAUGGUGGAACAAAACUGCUCACCUCAUGGCCAGGAAUUGAAACAGAAAGAAAGAGGAAGAGAUGGAAGAGACUGGGACCCCACAGUCCUCUUUGAGAAAACACACCCAAUGAAAUAAAACUUCCUGCUAGGCCCUACCUCUUCAACUUUUCAACACCUCCAACUAGUACCUAGCUGGGGAUGAGCCUUUAACACAUGGGCCUUUGGGGGACAUUUAAUAUCCAAACUAUAGGGCCAGUAUUGGUGGAGCAUGUGUCCCUGUGAUCAAUCUAAGGAUGUGCAAAGUUCAAAUCCAUUAUCCUUUACUAAUGGCUGUUAAUAACUUUAAUGAAAGUAAUCUAUCUUGUUUGAAGCAUAGAAGGAAUAUUUCACAAAAAAUAUAAAUAAGAUUUUGAUGAAAGAAUUAGCUAAUUUCUUCUCUGCUCUGGAUAUAAUAAGCAGAGUCAGUCUUUCUAAUUCAAAGCUAAGAAGUGCAAUAUCUAUUUUAAUAUUGCACUAUUGGUGACAGACUACAGAAUAAAAGAAAGAAAAAUGAUCUACCAUAAACCAAAUGAAUUUCUUUGGCCAUAGUUGGGAGUAAUGAAACAGUUCUUAUAAUUGAUUUGCUUCCAUUUAUCCCCCUUUUCUUUUAAUGACUAAUUUUAAAGCCUAGCUCUUGAAUUUGCAACUAUUUUUCUUUGUGAUACCUUUAAACUUAUUUUACUGUCUUAUCAUAGUGCAUUCAUUUGCAAAACUUAAAGAAGUCUAGUGCAUUUGGUGCAGGAAUAUAAUUAUCUAUAUUAAAAGAUAAUGGUAGGGAGAGACCACGGGGCAAUGUUGAAGUAUUAGGCUAUUCCAGGAGCAGUGGAAAUUAUAUAAGAAUUUUAGAAAGCUCAGUCGCUACAGCCUGGGGAAUGAAUUGGAGAGCAGAGAAAGUGAAACUUUAUUGAUUAGGUGAAAGAUGAUGGUUGGAGUAGAGCUGAAAAGAGGCAAACAGAUUAAAAAUAUUUAAAGGGUUGCAUUGAUAGAAAGUGGUGAUUAAACGAAGAAGGGGCAGACCAUACCUUCCUUGAAUAGCCUCUGCUAUUGCCCUAUGCGUUUUCCUGACCCAAGACUCAGGACUCUGUCACUCACUACCCCAAAUAAAUCCACUUGUCAAUGCAUUCAUAAGAAAUAUGCAUUUGCCUGAAUAUUUCACGGGGAAAUAGAAAUUUGAUUACACUGCACACCGCAGAGUAAAAGUCAAUCUUAUCCCCUCAUUGGAUAUCGCUCUUCAAAUGUCUCUUUCCUGUGUGAGUUUUUCCCUUUCCUUCCUCUUCUAUUUCUCUCUCUCCAGCCCCUUUCCCCUCCUGUAUGCUGGUAGAUUUUAUCCACUUCUACCCCCUUUUUUAUAUAGGACAAUUUAACCCUUCUGUUUGUUUCCCUCCAAUUAAUAUGUUCAUGUGGCAGCCCAGCUUUGUCUUUUGCUUAGCAUCUAUUAUUUUUAGGAGGUAGGGGAUGCUAUAGAUAACAGUCAGUAUUUCUGUUGUCUUUCAUUUACCUCAAGGUACACUAUAGCUUUGGAACUACCCUGUUAUUGUCUUUCCUUAAAAUACUGGUA